GGACAACCUACGUAUUAUACGAGAAUCAGACUGGGACAUAUUUCAUUGCUUCCUAGACCGUCAUACGGCAGAGUCCUCCUCUUGACUUUCUAUUGUAAAGCCUAUUGCGCCGGUAGGCUUCUUCCCGGUGGAUCCUGAUGGUCGGUCCAAGGCUUCUUUCCGGAGCUGCCGCUACAAAGGCCUGGCUGGGGAGAAAUCCCGAGUCACCUGUGACAUCAGGAUCAAGAUCAAGAUCAGCCCGUUCUGGCGCAGGCGAGUGUUUAUAGUGGCGCCAUCUUGCAUUGGCUCAUGCUGCCCUCCCAGAGCUAAUCUGUGAUCCUAGAAUCUAGAGUCCGGGUUGAUAGGUGGUCUUCUGGACAGCAUGUGGGUAGUUUUAAGCCACUCGGCGGCGGCUGAAAAAUCCCAGCUUGGUGGCACCGGGCGGGGAUUGAACUCGCGUCCUCCUGAACACGAGGCCGUUACUUUGACGACUCAGCCACCGCCUCCC